rnacentral:lncRNA from 1 species
UAAAUAAAUGAAUAAAUAAAUAAAUAUUUCUUGAAUAAGUUCAUGGAUACUGAUACUGGUAAUGGAAGUAUUUAUAACUAAAGACUUCUUUAUAAAUACAAAAUGUCCAAGAGAUGUAUUUGUCAAAUAAUUUUUUUUAAUGGCAUCCUGUUUUCCCAUUUGACAGAAGAAGACAUAAAGGCUGUUUCCAGAGGACUAACAGUUGGAGGCUGGUGGCCUUGAUAGGUAAUGCAGGAUUUCCUAAGGAGGAUUUGGAUUUUGGGUCAGUUGGUUCAGUUAGUCGUGACUAACAUGGCUGAAGAUUUUAAAUUGACCACAUUCAAGUUAAUUCAUUUGUGUAGCAUAGAGAGGACUGGAGCCUCUAAGAGGCUAAGAGAAAACCUUCAAAUCUCCAUACUGUGCCAGGAAGGUGCUUCUGUUAUGUAGAAAGCACACAAAACAAGAAGCAUAUUCUAGAACCAUUAUAUUACAAUUAUAUGCACUCUCCAGAGGAAUGCCCUCAUCAUUCUUUGACGUUAUGUUUGGGGCUGCCCUUGGAAAUCAUCUAGUUUAGCUUUCUCAUUUUAUAGAUGAGGAAAGUAAGGACUAGAGAGAUAAAGUGACUAGUUCAAGGUCAUUCUGUUACUUAGAGGCAGAGCCAGGACUAGAAUUCAGAGCUCCUAAGAAGACUUUUACAAUAUACCAUGGCAUCCUUUCUCUUAUUCUCGCAUUCCCAUGGGGGGAAAAAAAAACCCGCUUAGAUUUGUCUUAAACAAUGUUCUUCUGAGUGCUGGUGGAAUCACCUUGGUCUCUGAAGCCUGCGUUGGUGGUAAUGAGGAAGGCGCUGAUCUUCCUUUCUCAUUUUGCUUAGAAUAUUCUUGACUCAUCAUCAAACAAAUAUUUAUCAUCAAAAGGAAGUCAUUGUAUUUUCAUCUAGGGCUCCAGUGAGACUUAAAAAGUCACAGCAAACAUUCUCAUUCCUACCAGUUAACACUCUAUUGAAACUCACUAGAAAUAAAUUCCUUGGAGUGUAUUUUCUCACAGUGACAUAGUUUGUCUCCUAAGGAAUCAACACAUGUGGUUGCCUUUCUACCUUUCCUUGACAGGUUUAGGUUUGCAGAAUUUCAGAAAGUUUAUACAGCUCUCAAAAAACCAGAACUCUUUUUCUUUGUACUGUAUUGCUGUAAUUAAUAGUUAGGACUAUCAGGACUGCAAAUAAUUUAGAAGAUUUGGGGAAAACUGAAUAUUUUCCAUCACUGAAAACAAUUCAAUUCCAUAUUCUCUUUCCUGUGUAUGUGCUCACCACUGACUUCUUUCCCUGCCUUCCUGACUCCAGGGGUGGAGGUGGGGUAACAUUUUCAGUUUGCAGAGUUUUGCAUCCAUAUUUGUUUUCUCUAGAUAAUUCUCAAGAUGGUUAGAAGGAUUUGGUGGCUGGGGGUGGUGAACACCUAUGUGCAAUUUGAAUAUCUUAUUAGCUCUGUCAAUUUCUAGCUAAGCAUGUGACCAAGAAGUUUGGAUCAGGGUAUUCAGAUUGGAGCCCCUUGUAAUAGCACCCUUUCUAAACAUUUUGUGUGAUGAUUAGAGCAGCAUCAUGGUCUUUUGUUUCCAGAGUGGGUUUGGGGAGCAGCAGACAGCCCAGGAUUUUGAGUUCAUUUCUUCUGGUGCAAAAGAUUGAGCCCAAAAAACUGGCAAAAAUCAUCCCUGGUUGCUCAUUCCUGCAGAUGACUUUCAUAUUUGCUGGAGCUGCCUAUUUUCAGUGCUUUCUGGGUCCUGCUCAGUCCCUGAAGAGGCAGUUGCACAUCUUGCUGCACAUGCCCUGUAGCCCUACCUUUGUGCAGCCGUUCCCUCCUCAGUAAAAUGUUCUCAGCACACAAAAGUAGCCGUUGAAGGGUACAGCUUCGGUGCAGCAUGCCGGCUGCAGCGCGCCGCUGCACCAUCUUCAGUGGUGACAGACGCUGCAAACCCUGCCUAGGAAACUAAUGGAGAGUCCCUAAGAAAUCCAAACUCCAGCUUGGCUCACCCCAACCUUCUCCCCCACCUUCAGACCCCCAGGUGAGACUAAAACAAACAGCACACCACGCGACCAGCAGACAGCCCGGUCAGCGUUCCUGUAAGAACCUGGGCUUGCAGCAGGCGGAUCAUCGCGGAAUUCGACCUGAAUCCUAGCAUGUUUUGUUUUGCUGAAAGAAAUGGUGUCAUCAUUGUUUUCCAGCAAUUUAUUUUCUUGUGGUAUAAGUGCCCCUGAUGUACAAAAUGACCACAGCCAUCCCUUUUCAUCGUCAAACUCCAGCAAUGGCUGCUUUUAGAAAGAAAUUUCAUGAUGGAUUUUACAUUCUGCAUAUGGGAGAAACAAAUCCGAUAGAAUACAAUGGACUACAUGUGGGUGCUGAGAGCCAGCAUGGGUUCUCUUAGAGCCUGCCACCUGGAAGAAAGUGAUUUCUGAAGAUAGAAGCUGGUUACGUAACGCUGAUGUACAAAAAUGAAGAGAGGAAUCAUGCAGGAUCAUUCAGGCUAGAAAUGCACCUACCUGGGGCUAGAUGUUGCAGGAGAAAGGAGUACAGUGAUAGGAACCUUUGAAGAGCUCAUGACCCUCAGGGCAUGAAGAUAUCAGUUCACAGAAUAUUUUAUCAUUUUCCUGUCUACCAUCUUCCUGCUUUGACUUUGAGGACAUGAAAACAGCUGGGAGAGGGAAGGGGAAGGGGGAGAAGGGAAGCACAAGGCAGUAAAUAAAGGAAGAAACUAAUCAGCCACUCUUUCUCAUUGUAGGCUUUCAGCCUGAAGCAGAACCAAGCUGGGGGAGGAGGAGUUUUACUCUGAGAACUUUUGGUUGGAGAAAAGAAGUGCCAAAGGGAUGAGACCACGCCUGAAGCUCAAAACUGAACCAGACUUAGGGGUGCAG